rnacentral:rRNA from 1 species
UACGUAGGGUGCGAGCGUUAAUCGGAAUUACUGGGCGUAAAGCGUGCGCAGGCGGUUGUGCAAGACAGGUGUGAAAUCCCCGGGCUUAACCUGGGAACUGCAUUUGUGACUGCAUCGCUGGAGUGCGGCAGAGGGGAAUGGAAUUCCGCGUGUAGCAGUGAAAUGCGUAGAUAUGCGGAGGAACACCGAUGGCGAAGGCAAUCCCCUGGGCCUGCACUGACGCUCAUGCACGAAAGCGUGGGGAGCAAACAGG